GAAAUGCGAUAAGUAGUGUGAAUUGCAGAAUUCAGUGAAUCAUCGAAUCUUUGAACGCACAUUGCGCCCCUUGGUACUCCAUGGGGCAUGCCUGUUCGAGCGUCAUCUAAACCCUCAAGCCUCUUGGGUGUUGUCCCGCCUUUGCGCGGUACUCCGCCCGGUUUGGUGUUGGGCGUCUGUCCCGCUGCGCGCGUGGACUCGCCUCAAAUCCAUUGGCAGCGGCCCUUCAGCUUCUUGCGCAGCACAAUGCGUCUCGGGGCGUAGCAAGGGCACGCAUCCACUAAGCAACCCACAGUUUGACCUCGGAUCAGGUAGGGAUACCCGCUGAACUUAA
rnacentral:misc_RNA from 1 species